GAUGAACGCUAGCGGCAGGCUUAAUACAUGCAAGUCGAGGGGCAGCGCGGCGUAGCAAUACGCUGGCGGCGACCGGCAAACGGGUGCGGAACACGUACAGAACCUUCCUUCGAGCGGGGACUAGCCCAGAGGAAUUUGGAUUAAUACCCCAUAGUAUAGCGGAGUGGCAUCACUCUGCUCUGAAAGAUUUAUCAAUUUAAGAUGGCUGUUCGGCUGAUUAGGUAGUUGGCGGGGUAACGGCCCACCAAGCCUGCGAUCGGUAACUGGUGGGAGAGCACGACCAGUCACACGGGCACUGAGACACGGGCCCGACUCCUACGGGAGGCAGCAGUAAGGAAUAUUGGUCAAUGGACGAAAGUCUGAACCAGCCAUGCCGCGUGAAGGAUGAAGGUCCUCUGGAUUGUAAACUUCUUUUAUAUGGGACGAAAAAAGGCUUUUCUAAGUCGUCUGACGGUACCAUUUGAAUAAGCACCGGCUAACUCCGUGCCAGCCGCCGCGGUAAUAC
rnacentral:rRNA from 1 species